rnacentral:tRNA from 1 species
CGCGGGGUGGAGCAGCCCGGUAGCUCGUCAGGCUCAUAACCUGAAGGUCGUAGGUUCAAAUCCUACCUCCGCAU